UGUACAACCUACUCCGGACCUGUAAUGGCUCGAAAAUGACUAAAACGAAUCGAUAAAGAAUUGAAAGCACUUUAAGAAAACUAUAUACAAUUUGUCAAAAAUGCAAUAUAUCAAUCCCAACCAAUGACCCUUUAUCUUCAGGCCUUAUUCCAAUCAGACCAUGUAAAGACGAUUACUUUAUUUACCAAAAUGAGAUCCCAAAUGAGGACGUUAGAUCUGUCGGUCAUUGAAGGCCAGAAUUAGAAGAACCCUCUACUAACUAUGUCUAAACUAUAAAGCAUCAAAGAACUCAUAUCUCUUCUGAAUGCUGGUACCAACUUCACUUUUCUGAUCCUAAACCUGACCAAAUGACAUGGGCCCCACUAGUCAGAUAUGCGUGCAUCUAUGAAUCAUGAUUCGAGAAGGAUGACAAACUAUGGCUCCACACCCCCAUCUCAUCAACUCAUACUGCAACAGGCGUGAGGUCGCCCUUUCUCAAUUGCGAUUGUAUUGAUGGUAGUGGUUGCCAAGACCAACGUGUCAAUGUAUUCUACGGUCUUUUUUAGUGUUAGGUAUGAAAAAAAUAUUUGUCUUUGUAGGGCCUGUUGUCCGUUUUCUGGUCCAUCCGUCUCUGAGUAGGGCUCUCAGAUCAGGUCUAGAGUGGGUUGAAAUCUGCCCCCCUCAA
rnacentral:lncRNA from 1 species